rnacentral:rRNA from 1 species
GUCGCUAACGCAUUAAGUGCCCCGCCUGGGGAGUACGGUCGCAAGACUAAAACUCAAAGGAAUUGACGGGGGCCCGCACAAGCAGCGGAGCGUGUUGCUUAAUUCGAUGCUACGCGAAGAACCUUACCUAGGUUAAAUCAUUGGGAAAAGCCACAGAGAUGUGGUGUCAUUCGGGGCUCAAUGAAGGUGGUGCAUGGCUGUUGUCAGCUCGUGUCGUGAGAUGUUGGGUUAAGUCCCGCAACGAGCGCAACCCUUAUCCUAUGUUGCCAGCGCGUAAUGGCGGGGACUCGUAGGAGACUGCCGGGGUCAACUCGGAGGAAGGUGGGGAUGACGUCAAGUCAUCAUGCCCCUUAUGUCUAGGGCUGCAAACACGCUACAAUGGCCGGUACAAAGGGCUGCGAAACCGCGAGGUUUAGCGAAUCCCAUAAAGCCGGUCUCAGUUCGGAUUGGAGGCUGCAACUCGCCUCCAUGAAGCUGGAGUUGCUAGUAAUCCCGGAUCAGCACGCCGGGGUGAAUACGUUCCCGGGCCUUGUACACACCGCCCGUCACACCACGAAAGUCGGCAACACCCGAAGCCGGUGGCCUAACCGUAAGGAAGGAG